CCGGUCCCUGCCAUGCCCGGCUGCCCCAGUCCCCGCAGCCCUGCGCCGUUGCUGCGCCCCCUCCUCCUGCUCCUCUGCGCUCUGGCUCCCGGCGCCCCCGGACCCGCACCAGGACGUGCAACCGAGGGCCGGGCGGCACUGGACAUCGUACACCCGGUUCGAGUCGACGCGGGGGGCUCCUUCCUGUCCUACGAGCUGUGGCCCCGCGCACUGCGCAAGCGGGAUGUGUCUGUGCGCCGAGACGCGCCCGCCUUCUACGAGCUACAAUACCGCGGGCGCGAGCUGCGCUUCAACCUGACCGCCAAUCAGCACCUGCUGGCGCCCGGCUUUGUGAGCGAGACGCGGCGGCGCGGCGGCCUGGGCCGCGCGCACAUCCGGGCCCACACCCCGGCCUGCCACCUGCUUGGCGAGGUGCAGGACCCUGAGCUCGAGGGUGGCCUGGCGGCCAUCAGCGCCUGCGAUGGCCUGAAAGGUGUGUUCCAGCUCUCCAAUGAGGACUACUUCAUUGAGCCCCUGGACAGUGCCCCGGCCCGGCCUGGCCAUGCCCAGCCCCAUGUGGUGUACAAGCGUCAGGCCCUGGAGAGGCUGGCACAGCGGGGUGAUUCCAGUGCUCCACGCACCUGUGGAGUGCAAGUGUACCCGGAGCUGGAGCCUCGACGGGAGCGUUGGGAGCAGCGGCAGCAGUGGCGGCGGCCACGGCUGAGGCGUCUACACCAGCGGUCCAUCAGCAAAGAGAAGUGGGUGGAAACCCUGGUGGUAGCUGAUGCCAAAAUGGUGGAGUACCACGGACAGCCGCAGGUUGAGAGCUAUGUGCUGACCAUUAUGAACAUGGUGGCUGGCCUGUUUCAUGACCCCAGCAUUGGGAACCCCAUCCACAUCACCAUUGUGCGCCUGGUCCUGCUGGAAGAUGAGGAGGAGGACCUAAAGAUCACGCACCAUGCAGACAACACCCUGAAGAGCUUCUGCAAGUGGCAGAAAAGCAUCAACAUGAAGGGGGACGCCCACCCCCUGCACCAUGACACCGCCAUCCUGCUCACCAGGAAGGACCUGUGUGCAGCCAUGAACCGGCCCUGUGAGACCCUGGGCCUGUCCCACGUGGCGGGCAUGUGCCAGCCGCACCGCAGCUGCAGCAUCAACGAGGACACGGGCCUGCCGCUGGCCUUCACUGUAGCCCACGAGCUCGGGCACAGUUUUGGCAUUCAGCAUGACGGAAGCGGCAAUGACUGUGAGCCCGUUGGGAAACGGCCUUUCAUCAUGUCUCCACAGCUCCUGUACGACGCUGCUCCCCUCACCUGGUCCCGCUGCAGCCGCCAGUACAUCACCAGGUUCCUUGACCGUGGGUGGGGCCUGUGCCUGGAUGACCCUCCUGCCAAGGACAUCAUCGACUUCCCCUCGGUGCCGCCUGGCGUCCUCUAUGAUGUGAGCCACCAGUGCCGCCUCCAGUACGGGGCUUACUCUGCCUUCUGCGAGGACAUGGAUAAUGUCUGCCACACACUCUGGUGCUCUGUGGGGACCACCUGUCACUCCAAGCUGGAUGCAGCCGUGGACGGCACCCGGUGUGGGGAGAAUAAGUGGUGUCUCAAUGGGGAGUGCGUACCCGUGGGCUUCCGGCCCGAGGCUGUGGAUGGUGGCUGGUCCGGCUGGAGCGCCUGGUCUGUCUGCUCGCGGAGCUGUGGCGUGGGCGUACAGAGCGCCGAGCGGCAGUGCACGCAGCCUACGCCCAAAUACAAAGGCAGAUACUGUGUGGGUGAGCGGAAGCGCUUCCGCCUCUGCAACCUGCAGGCCUGCCCUGCUGGCCACCCCUCCUUCCGCCACGUCCAGUGCAGCCACUUUGACGCUAUGCUCUACAAGGGCCAGCUGCACACAUGGGUGCCCGUGGUCAAUGACGUGAACCCUUGCGAGCUGCACUGCCGGCCCGCGAAUGAGUACUUUGCCGAGAAGCUGCGGGACGCCGUGGUCGAUGGCACCCCCUGCUACCAGGUCCGGGCCAGCCGGGACCUCUGCAUCAACGGCAUCUGUAAGAACGUGGGCUGUGACUUCGAGAUUGACUCCGGCGCUAUGGAGGACCGCUGUGGCGUGUGCCACGGCAACGGCUCCACCUGCCACACCGUGAGCGGGACCUUCGAGGAGGCCGAGGGCCUGGGGUAUGUGGACGUGGGACUGAUCCCAGCCGGCGCACGCGAGAUCCGCAUCCAGGAGGUGGCCGAGGCUGCCAACUUCCUGGCACUGCGGAGCGAGGACCCGGAGAAGUACUUCCUCAAUGGUGGCUGGACCAUCCAGUGGAACGGGGACUACCAGGUGGCAGGGACCACCUUCACAUACGCACGCAGGGGCAACUGGGAGAACCUCACGUCCCCGGGUCCCACCAAGGAGCCUGUCUGGAUCCAGGUGCCUGCCUCCCGAGGCCCAGGCGGGGGGAGCAGAGGCGGAGUCCCCAGGCCCAGCACCCUCCAUGGCAGGUCUCAUCCUGGAGGAGUGAGCCCUGGGUCAGUCACAGAGCCUGGCUCUGAGCCAGGCCCUCCUGCUGCGGCCUCUACCUCAGUUUCCCCAUCUUUAAAAUGGCCCAGUCAUGUAGCUGCAGUUCACAGAGGUGGCUGGGGUCGGCUCCUUUAGGACUGGGUGGAUGGAGAAGACACCUCGUGCUCAUGGGCCCCCGCCUGCCCACCCAGCUGCUGUUCCAGGAGAGCAACCCCGGGGUACACUAUGAGUACACCAUCCACCGGGAGGCAGGUGGCCACGGCGAGGUCCCACCGCCCGAGUUCUCCUGGCACUAUGGGCCCUGGACCAAGUGCACAGUCACCUGCGGCAGAGGUGAGAAGUGGGACAGGCACAGCCCCACCAGCAGGGGCUUCGUCUCUGGACAGGGACACUGGCUUCAGCUCCCAGCUCACUGCUGGGCCACCACAGGUUUGGAAGUUUGCUUCUCUGAGUCUAAGUUCCCCAUCUGUGAGAUGAGGCUAGCGACUGCCCCUUGUCCCAGGCCCGCUGGGAGGGUAAAUGGAUGAGGCAGGUGGGUGCUGGCUCGUGGCGCGUGCUCAGUGUGCUCCAGCUCUUGGCGUUCUCCCUCCAGGGAACACAGCUCCCCCUCAAUAGACCAGUCCAGUGGCCCCUCACCACACUGACUUAUUUCCCUGAACUAUUUAUAAAAAGUAGGGAAAUUUCAUUAACUCUGACUCUU
rnacentral:sRNA from 1 species